rnacentral:rRNA from 1 species
GACAGAGGUGCCGAGCGUUAGGCGGAAUCACUGGGCUUAAAGCGUGUGUAGGCGGAUGCCUAAGUACCUUGUGAAAUCCCACGGCUCAACCGUGGAACUGCUUGGUAUACUGGGUGUCUUGAGCCACUUAGGGGCAAGCGGAACAAAUGGUGGAGCGGUGAAAUGCGUAGAUAUCAUCAGGAACACCGGAGGCGAAGGCGGCUCACUGGGGAUUUUCUGACGCUGAGGAACGAAAGCCAGGGGAGCAAACGGG